rnacentral:lncRNA from 1 species
CAUCGCGAAAUACAAAUUAUACAAAACCAACAAAUUACCACGGUAAGUACUCUUUUAAGCUCAAGACCUUUUUUAUUUGGGAGGUCAUUUGAUAGCUGUAAAAAUGUUUUUUCUGCUAUUUAGCUGUUCAGUUAUCAAGCUACUAUCUCCAAUUCCAAAUCAUAUGUCAAUAAUGUCUAAGUAGAACGAUUUCAUAAAACUAAUGUAGGCAUAAUGGGGCUAUAAUUAUUGGUUUACCUCGUUUGGAAGGAGAGUGAGAUCUAACCAUUGAUUCUUAUGUAUUAUAGGUGGCUCAAUCUGAAUCUCAACCUUGCUCUCUACAGUGUAGAAAAAUAGGUAAGAGAAUCCAUGGGAGAAAGCAAGGUGACACAAUGGUGUAGGGUCUUAUGAAAAAGGGAAAAAGGAUAUUUGACAAAUUAGAAGAUAAAGAGCGGAAAAGGACUAAAUUAUGUCAGUAUGUUAAUUUUUAAUGUUUUUCUCAUUUUUUCUCAGGUGAUGUUCUAUAUGUUGUCAUUAAGUGUGGUUAUAGUUCAGAGAACAUUCUCCAUUUGUCUAGAAAAUCAAGUGCUUGGGCUUUCUCAUCGGCAACUCACCAGAAACUCGUUGAAGCUUUCAAUGAAGGGAAACAUGUUCGUCUAAUUUUUUCUUUAAAUGGAACGAAGGAGCUUCAAGGAUACGCUGACUUGACUGGAUCUGCUCCUGUUGAACUUAAAUCUAGUUUAUUCGGCCCUAAUCUUCAACCACCUCUUCCUAUCGAAUGGAUUGAACAGUCACCAGUUCCGUUUCAACACUCAACACCAUGCGAAAUAAGUUCUUUGGCCCUUUCAAUUUAAAUGAAGUUCCGGAUGGCCUGAUUCUAGAUUCGAAAAUAGGUGAAUCACUCUGCAGCUUAUGGGAGAAUCCAAAUGCUGCAAGGAGCUAUAGUCGGGGAAAAAUUCGGGCAAUCACUAUCGUAGCAAUGCGGGCCGUGGUAGCAACGCUUUCAAUCGGCCUAAACGUGGUUCCUAUUCUGUACAUGGCAACAGCAAUUUUGAUGAUUAUCGCUACUCAAAGAACAGUUAUAGUUACAACCAGCAAUCAUACUAUUAGAGACAAUGAUGUAUUCUCAUUUGUUUUUCUGUAG